UACGAAGGGAGCUAGCGUUGUUCGGAAUCACUGGGCGUAAAGCGCACGUAGGCGGACGUGUCAGUCAGGGGUGAAAUCCCGGAGCUCAACUUCGGAACUGCCUUUGAUACAGCACGUCUUGAGUCCGGAAGAGGUGGGUGGAAUUCCUAGUGUAGAGGUGAAAUUCGUAGAUAUUAGGAAGAACACCGGUGGCGAAGGCGGCCCACUGGUCCGGUACUGGACGCUGAGGUGCGAAAGCGUGGGGAGCAAACAGG
rnacentral:rRNA from 1 species